rnacentral:tRNA from 1 species
GUCAGGAUCGCCAAGUGGAUUAAGGCUCUGGUCUGCAAAACCAGCAUUUUACGUGGGUUCGAAUCCCACUCCUGACU